rnacentral:rRNA from 1 species
UAAAUGACUCUCGGCAACGGAUAUCUCGGCUCACGCAUCGAUGAAGAACGUAGCAAAAUGCGAUACUUGGUGUGAAUUGCAGAAUCCCGUGAACCAUCGAGUUUUUGAACGCAAGUUGCGCCCGAAGCCAUUCGGCCGAGGGCACGUCUGCCUGGGCGUCACACA